ACGUAGGAGGCGAGCGUUAUCCGGAUUUACUGGGCGUAAAGCGUGUGUAGGCGGUUUGAUAAGUUGGAUGUGAAAGCUCCUGGCUUAACUGGGAGAGGUCGUUCAAAACUAUCAGACUUGAGAGUGGUAGAGGGAGGUGGAAUUCCGCAUGUAGUGGUGAAAUGCGUAGAUAUGCGGAGGAACACCAGUGGCGAAAGCGGCCUCCUGGCCCAUUUCUGACGCUCAGACACGAAAGCUAAGGUAGCAAACGG
rnacentral:rRNA from 1 species